GUUGAAGGGCCGCGGUAUUAUGACUGUGCGAAGGUAGCGUAAUCAUUAGUCUUUUAAUUAAAGGCUGGAAUGAAUGAUUUGACGAGGUGAUAACUGUCUUACUAUAAUAAAAUGGAAUUUAUCUUUUAAGUUAAAAGACUUAAAUAAAAAUAUAGGACGAGAAGACCCUAUAGAGCUUAAAUAUUUACAUUAAGAUUUUAAUUAAGUUGUAUUAGGAAGUAUUAUAUAUAAGUAUUAUGUUGGGGUGACAAAAAGAUAGGUGGAACUCUUUUAAUUCAGAACAUUAAUUUAUGAUUAUUUGAUCCAUUUUUAGUGAUAAAUAGAAUAAGUUACCUUAGGGAUAACAGCGUAAUGUUCUUUGAGAGUUCAUAUCGACAAGGAAGAUUGCGACCUCGAUGUUGGAUUAAGGAUACUAUAGACGCAGGAGUUNAAUAAGUG
rnacentral:rRNA from 1 species